CUUGUGGACUAUCAAAACAACUGUAGUAGUGAACUUUUUGGCGAGGCAGGAUAGGAAGAAGCAAGAA
rnacentral:sRNA from 12 species